rnacentral:rRNA from 1 species
GACGAACGCUGGCGGCGUGCUUAACACAUGCAAGUCGAACGGAAAGGCCCCUUUGGGGGUACUCGAGUGGCGAACGGGUGAGUAACACGUGAGUAACCUGCCCUUGACUUCGGGAUAACUUCAGGAAACUGGGGCUAAUACCGGAUAGGAAUCCUUGCUGCAUGGUGGGGGUUGGAAAGCUUCGGCGGUUUUGGAUGGACUCGCGGCUUAUCAGCUUGUUGGUGGGGUAGUGGCUUACCAAGGCUUUGACGGGUAGCCGGCCUGAGAGGGCGACCGGCCACAUUGGGACUGAGAUACGGCCCAGACUCCUACGGGAGGCAGCAGUGGGGAAUAUUGCACAAUGGGCGGAAGCCUGAUGCAGCAACGCCGCGUGCGGGAUGACGGCCUUCGGGUUGUAAACCGCUCUCAGCAGGGGCGAAGCUUGUGGUGACGGUACCUGCAGAAGAAGCACCGGCUAACUACGUG